AUUGAACGCUGGCGGCAGGCCUAACACAUGCAAGUCGAGCGAGCGGCGGAGGGGUGAGUAAUGUCUGGGAAACUGCCUGAUGGAGGGGGAUAACUAUUGGAAACGGUAGCUCAUACCGCAUACCCUCGGAUGUGCCCCGAUGGGAUUAGAUAGUAGGGGGGGUAAAGGCUCACCUAGGCGCCGAUCCCUAGCUGGUCUGAGAGGAUGACCAGCCACACUGGAACUGAGACACGGUCCAGACUCCUACGGGAGGCAGCAGUGGGGAAUAUUGCACAAUGGGCGCAAGCCUGAUGCAGCCAUGCCGCGUGUAUGAAGAAGGCCUUCGGGUUGUAAAGUACUUUCAGCGGGGAGGCGUUACCCGCAGAAGAAGCACCGGCUAACUCCGUGCCAGCCGCCGCGGUAAUUC
rnacentral:rRNA from 1 species